AUGGAGCGGUCAAGGGUGGGAAACCUCGAGGAUGCUCAAGCCCCUUGGGGAGAGGCUGAAUCUUGUAGAUGGGAGGAGGGAAGUCAGGGAGAGGGGCAGGAGGAAGAUUCAAGGGAAAGGAGCAUUUAAGGUGCAAGGAGCACGCUUUGGGGUCUUUUGAAAGGUGUGUCCAGCCCAGCUAGAGAAGGCUCCUCGGAAACUUCAGUCGACUCUGGAGAGGGCGGGAGAGAUGCCCAGCCCCUUAAAGGAGAAUACACACAAUUUUGGAAAAGUGGAGAGGAAGUGGAGGAGCCUAAGAAAGAGAGCAUGAAACAUAUCUCAUGUGAAGGGUCCAGUGGAAAAGUAGGGAGAGAAAUUGAAACAUCUGCAGGAUACAGACACAGGUACAGGGAGAAAAGGCAGCUGCAAGAGUCCUGGUGCCCAAUCUGUCUCCCUCCUCUCCAUCUUCCCAAAGACACUGGAACUAGGAUGCGACUGUCUUUGCCUCUGAGCUGAGGAAAAGUCCCCGGGAGACGGACAUCGGACAUCAUAUGUGGAAGAGAUCGCAGCUACAAAGCAGAUAGAAAGGCUAGGCUUGCCUCACCUGGCCAAUCGGACAUUGUCAUUGUCAUCUUUGCCCCACUCCCAGCCCUUUCCAGGGUCCACAGCAAAGUGCAAGGGCAGCAGCUUAUGCUCUGAAUCUGUAAGUGGGAUCACAGCUGGGAAGGAAAGAAACAUGAUCAAGGAGUCUCUUUGAGGAGAGAGGAAGGCAACUGAACACAGACCGACUUCAGUGAAAAGGAGGCUGAACCAUACCAAAGGUCUCUAACUGCAGUCACUUCUCAGUUCGUAACAUGUGAAUUACCUUAGCAUUUAAAAACUUAACAGGCAGGUUUUCCCUUGUAACCCAGCACACAAUUUAGGCCACUAAUCUCCAUGACUUCCCACCAGUCAUCUAGCACCUAUGAUGUUCUUGCCAGUUAACGGAGAUUCAGGGAAUUCAAAGUCAUUAUCAAGACAAAUAUAGCAAAGCAUCAUUUGGAAGGUACUAUGACCUUACUGUAUUAGCUCUUUACUCCAGAGCAGGGAAUACAGGCUGUGUUUUUCUCCAAACCUUUUUUCUUUUUUUAAUUUUAAAACCUCUGUAUAUCUUAUAGCUUAGUAAAACAGUAUCAACAUGCACUGUCUGAGCUUGCAUGUCGCUUAAUUCUUUCCUCCUACAUUCUCUCUCAUUUCAGUUUUUCGAAGUGAAAAUAAAGCGGAUCAAAAGACACCAGAGACACAGACAUUGCAUUCCGCACCUUGUUCCUUGGCAUUCUCCUUCUGUUCCAUGGACACAAGUGCAGAAAAGUGGGCCUGAUCAUAGGCGAGCACCAGAGGGGAGCGGUGACACUGGCUGGCUGGAACCUCCAAGGGCAGAUAGAUUCCCCCAAAGGGAAUAGGGGCAAAUGCUGCAGGAAACCACGGAGAUUAUU